UGGGCACAACAGGACAAAUUAUCCCAAACCUCAUUCAGUGUCCUUAUUUGUGAAGAGUUAAAGAAUCUUCUGUUCUCUUUUCAUUUACCUAGGCUAGAAGACCAAUGCAUGGACAAUUCAACUGCAGGAUCACAGCUACAGGUUAUUAUUUGCAGCAAAUUAGCUGUGGAGCUUGAAAGCAGAUGUGUGCACUUGAUCCUAUGACUACAUCAAGCUAUUCUUUUUUAAGCAGAGCCAUCCAUAUCCCAAGUACCUAAGGUCGUGGUUGACGUUUCAUAUGUGGCUGAACACUUCCUGUUUCCUUAAAUAACGUAACUAUGUAACUAUCUGACGAACGGUGCGGACACAUGGGUGAUGUCGUCCAGGAUACUGAGCAGCAUACAUAGCACGAGACCGUUGGGCAUUUUGAUCGCAAUAGCCAUGAUACCGACCUUUCCCGCAGUUGGUAAAUGGUCCAUUUUAAUAUGGGUAAUGUAUCACGAAGCAAAUACUGUUCACAUUGGCGGAAUGUUAUGUGAUGAUACCUACUUUCAAGUUUGUGACUAUUACAGCACCAAGUAUCACAAAGCGAA